rnacentral:rRNA from 1 species
UGUAAGCGUAUACCAAAGUUGUUGCAGUUAAAACGCUCGUAGUCGGACUUUGGCAGUUCCGGAUGUGUGCACGUCGUGUGCGCACUUCGCGGGGAUUGCUUUUGUGGUCUUGCGUAGGAUGAGGCACUUUUAUUAGUGAACGUCCUAACGCAACCACUUUUUACUGUGAGAAAAUCAGAGUGCUCAAAGCAGGCAUUUGCCGUGAAUGUAUUAGCAUGGAAUAAUAGAAUAGGACUUGGUUCUAUUUUGUUGGUUUGUUGGGACUGAGUAAUGAUUAAGAGGGACAGUUGGGGGCAUUUGUAUUUCGGUGCUAGAGGUGAAAUUCUUAGAUUACCGAAAGACAAACUGCUGCGAAAGCGUCUGCCAAGGAUGUUUUCAUUGA